AGGGAAAAAAAAAUCCAGGAUGGAGCUAACAGAACAAAAGUGACCAACAAUUUGCCACCAGAAAAGCUUAUAGACAAAUCCAGGAAAACCAAGAAUCUAGGACAACUCAAUUUCUCCAUUGAUGUGGGAUAUAUGAAUGGCAAGGGUUUGCUAUGUGAUGAAGUGUUCACUACAGAAAUCAUAUACAAUUGACUCCAAAUGCUCCCUAUGAUUUACAUAGCUACCCAUCUCACAAGGGAGUAACUUGGAAAGCGUACAACAAAACUAGAGCAAUGAACUCUUCUCACGAAAAUGGAUUUGGAACAAAACAUGAAGUUGAAAUUUCACUAAGGAUCUGUUUCCACAAGAUCCCUAACCAGAUUAAUGGAAGAGGAUGAAGAACAAAACUGAUAAAAAGCUAUCAUGUUCCCCACUCAGCUCAUUUGAAAGACAACUGGGAGAAAAUAGCGAUAAGGCCAGAAAGCAUCUCAUGGAGUUUGCCCGGUACUAAAGACAUUUGGAAGAUCUGAAUUCUAAUCUCAGAAGUUCCUGUAGCAGUUUGCAUGACCUUGAUCUGCUCUUGUGAACAUCGGGACAAUGAUGCCAGUAAUUUUGUUAUUUAUGUUAAACUCUUUAUGUUUUUUUUAGUUUAGAAUAGUGUUUACUGUUUCAUGUGUUACCUAAUACAAUAGGUUUCAAAUAUUAAUAUGAGUUUACAGUUUAUUUCUUAAAUUCAUAUAGCCACUCAUCUGUCAUUGCAAAUGGUUACUAGGUGAACUUUUGUAACAAGAAUUUUUUUGGGUGUCAACAAUUUAGUGGAGUAUUUCUAGUUUCAUUUAUAAUGCAUAUUUAAACUGAAAUACAAAAAGUCCUUGACUUACAACCACAAUAAGGAGCAGAAAAUUCACUGUUAAGCAGUGCAAUCCUUAAAUGAGGCAUUCAUGUGGCCAAACCUACAUUUUUGACUUUAUCACAGUCAUUUCAUGCAACCAAACAAGACAGACACAGACUUCAAUGGA